rnacentral:lncRNA from 1 species
GGCUAUCCAUAUUAGGCUUUUUCAUAAACUUGUCUGAUAUUGCUCAACGUGUGUGUCGUGUAUACUAUGUGUUCGUAACCUGCUAGUUCUGUGUAAACAUACGUGCACGACUUGAACCUAGACCUGACUUGUAUGGUAACCAUGUUAGGACGUGGUUAGCCUCAACCAGCUCGAUUGACCUUCUGUUUAUCUGCCGAGCUAACCUAAGGUGAGUUCACACUUUCUACAAAGCAUGGUAAUUCCCGGUGGGUUUGGGAAUGGGUUAAGGAAUAUGGAUUCCUCGUCCUUCUUGGGUAGGACAGUACGGGUUAAGGAAUGUAUUUCCUCGUCCUCUUGGACAAUUUAAAAUUCACUAGACCAAAACUCUAUCACGAAGUCCCUCCUUUUAUAUCGACUUAAUCGCCGGGCCAAUGGCGAGCGGGUCAUUAGUUAGAUAGCGCUAUUUAGGUCUGACAAGCCUCACACCGUGCCGUAGAGGAUGGGCGUGAACUAAUGGAUCUGGGCACGUCAAUGAUGAUAGACAUUGACGCAAAAGGGCACAUAAACAUGACUAACGUCAGUGGUCGAUAUGGUAACGAGUCUAGUAGUGUAAACACAGGGUAGCCCCCACGGCUGGAUUGGCACAGUAAAUGGGAUAAACAAAUCAUGUUUUCAACUAUGGGGUAACCCCCACGGCAAGGACGCCAGUUAAAGGAAACUAUGUUUUUGGAAUAACUUAACAAAUACCCAACUGUGAACUCGCUCAACUUUGUUGUUGACUCGUUACUACAUGCUUUGCAGGUCACUAGGUUUUGAAGGAGCUUGCAUGGGGAAGAGUCGUUGUGGAGCAUGGACAUUGAGUAUUUGUUAAACCAUUAUUGGACACCAAUUGUAUUGUGUGGUUGAAGUUUUAAUUACUUUACUAUGUUGUUCAAUAUGAUUGGUGGCUUGAUCCUGGACAUGUCACGCCUCCAUGCGGUGAUACUCCGCGAGUGGAUUUUGGGGGUGUGACAAUCACCGCCUACUCGCCUAGUCUCCCAUCAUCACCAGGUGCCACGGAAAAUAGUGGGGAGAGUAGGCGUCGAACUUGGGUCCCUUAGAACACCAAGUAUUUCCCAUACCACUCCACCACCACCACCACCUCAUUAGCCCUUUAAAAUAACAACUAAAGAUGAAAAUUUAUUUUAUCUUCUUUAGUCAAUUUAAUUUUCUCACUGCAAAAAAUCAAACACUUUUUUAAAAUUUUAUUUUGAAAAAGUCAUUAGUCAAUAAGCACUCUUGACAAUAAACACUUUUGCACUUAAAUAAGCAAUCCCAGACACACUCACUGUAUUUUGGUUUUCUCAUUUAAAUUGAGUUUUCUCACUAUAUAUAUAGGCUUGUCUCGGCAUGUGAGCCAACUUGAGCUCAAUUAGUGAAGAUCAGAGUUAGGCACGAGCUCACUAUCCAGCUUAACUUUGGGCUGGAACUUAGGUUUGAGCUCAUCCAAGCUCGGCUAGUUUUGAGUUAUUAGCAAGCCGAUCUUGAAUAGCUCACCUACGGAUCGGCUCAUUUACCCCACUAGUUUAAUAUUGUUCAUGUCGACCAUAUCAUGAAUACUUGCAUGCUGAAAUGUAGUUGCAUCUCUCAUGGAGCACUAGAAAUCCAUAUACCUACCAAUGCCCUAGACAGCUGCCAGAAAACAAAAUCCAAUACGAAUGUGAUAGAAAGAUGUUAGAUUCGGAUAAACAUGAUGUGGUUUAUUAAUCAUACGUGUUUGGUUUUCCACAAAAGGAAAACAAUAAUGGAAGGCAGCAUAACUAGAAAGUACAACAGAACAAGGACAAAAUAGAAAACAAUUGAUUCUCAACGUGUUUGAAUAAUUUGCAUGAUGCUAUACCUAUCUUAUUCUUGCCAGAAAAUCAAAUUAAUGGGGGUAUAGAAUAAACUGAAAUGGAGGUUACUUCGCUUGUAUGUGGAUAUUGCUGUGACAUGCAUGCUAAGUAUGCUAAAUUCCUUUCCCGAUCAACGUUUAGCCAUUUUCAAAGCUCCUGGCUUUGCACUAUGUUAGCAAAAAGUCAAUGUUUUUGGUGAUUGUUGAACAUUAAGCAUUCUACUAAUUAUUCCAUAUAUAUAAAUUAGCAAGUUUCUUGUGCAUCAUGACUUGUACCUAGACCUUGCAAAACAAGCCCAUCCCCUCUAUUUUGGGUUGAUAUGAGUAUUUUAAAUUUUAAGAUGUGUUAAGAUGGGCCAAACUAAAUUACUCACUAGGUUAGGAUGAGUUAUAAAGUGGUGGAUAAAAAAAAGAGUAGGUCAGGAUGGGUAUGAGAUAAAAUCCAAGUGAGUCAGGAUGGGUAUAAGAUAAAAUCACUAAACUAAUUACAAAUCGUAGAUAUCUCCCGUAGUACUCUCCCGUCAUUCUUCGUCUAAAAAUAAUAAAAAAAUCAAAAAAAUUGUAUAAACUCAAAAAAAAAAUCUAAAAAAUAAAAAAAAUCUAAAAAAUC